rnacentral:rRNA from 1 species
CCUACGGUGGGCAGCAGUGAGGAAUAUUGGUCAAUGGUCGGGAGACUGAACCAGCCAAGCCGCGUGAGGGAUGAAGGUACAGAGUAUCGUAAACCUCUUUUGUCAGGGAACAAAGGCGGGGACGUGUCCCCGGAUGAGUGUACCUGAAGAAAAAGCAUCGGCUAACUCCGGGCCAGCAGCCGCGGUAAUACGAAGGGGGCAAGCGUUGUUCGGAAUUACGGGGCGUAAAGGGAGUGUAGGCGGUUUAGUAAGAUAGUGGUGAAAUCCCAGGGCUUAACUUUGGAAUUGCCAUUAUAACUAUUAGACGAGAAUUACGGAGAGGAUAGUGGAAUACCAAGUGUAGAGGGGAAAUUCGUAGAUAUUGGGUAGAACACCAGUGGCGAAGGCGACUAUCUGGCUGUACAUUGACGCUGAGGCUCGAAAGCAUGGGGAUCAAACAGGAUUAGAUACCCGGGUAGUC